CUACGGGAUGCAGCAGUGAGGAAUAUUGCACAAUGGGGGGAACCCUGAUGCAGCAACGCCGCGUGGAGGAUGACACAUUUCGGUGUGUAAACUCCUUUUAUAUGUCAAGAAAAUGACGGUAGCAUAUGAAUAAGCACCGGCUAACUCCGUGCCAGCAGCCGCGGUAAUACGGAGGGUGCAAGCGUUACUCGGAAUCACUGGGCGUAAAGGACGCGUAGGCGGGUUGGAAAGUCAGGUGUGAAAUCCUACAGCUUAACUGUAGAACUGCACUUGAAACUUCUAAUCUAGAGUAUGGGAGGGGGAGAUGGAAUUAGUAGUGUAGGGGUAAAAUCCGUAGAUAUCACUAGGAAUACCUAAAGCGAAGGCGAUCUCCUGGAACAUUACUGACGCUAAGGCGUGAAAGCGUGGGGAGCAAACAGGAUUAGAUACCCGCGUAGUC
rnacentral:rRNA from 1 species